rnacentral:lncRNA from 1 species
UUUUUUUCAAAAUCAAGUUGAUUGGUUGGUGUCACACCUUACCAAUCAAUAAAUCAAUCUAAAAUCAUAACUUCAUACAUUCAAAUUAUAAGUCAUAUGCCCUUUUGCAUUGAGGCAUCUUCAUCAAUUGUUUCUUUGUCCCCGAUGCGUUGAGAACUUUCACAAUCUAAACACAAAAUAAACAAGCAUUUUCUAGAAGAACUACGGUGCUCUGAUCCUUUAUCAAACAUGAAGGUACGUAGGCAUAG